rnacentral:rRNA from 1 species
UACAGAGGGUGCGAGCGUUGUCCGGAAUCACUGGGCGUAAAGGGCGCGUAGGCGGCUUGAUAAGGUUGCGGUGAAAGCCCGGGGCUCAACCCCGGGUCGGCCGUGGCAACUGUCGAGCUGGAGCACUGUAGAGGCAGGUGGAAUUCCGGGUGUAGCGGCGGAAUGCGUAGAGAUCCGGAAGAACACCGGUGGCGAAGGCGGCCUGCUGGGCAGUGGCUGACGCUGAGGCGCGACAGCGUGGGGAGCAAACAGG